ACUCCUACGGGAGGCAGCAGUGGGGAAUAUUGCACAAUGGGGGAAACCCUGAUGCAGCCAUGCCGCGUGUGUGAAGAAGGCCUUCGGGUUGUAAAGCACUUUCAGCGAGGAGGAAAGGGUGUGUGUUAAUACCCGAUACAUCUGUGACGGUUACUCGCAGAAGAAGCACCGGCUAACUCCGUGCCAGCAGCCGCGGUAAUACGGAGGGUGCGAGCGUUAAUCGGAAUUACUGGGCGUAAAGCGCAUGCAGGUGGUUUGUUAAGUCAGAUGUGAAAGCCCGGGGCUCAACCUCGGAAUUGCA
rnacentral:rRNA from 1 species